AUACCCGGGUAGUCCCAGCCGUAAACGAUGCGCGUUAGGUGUAUCGAUGACCACGAGUCAUCGAGGUGCCGAAGAGAAAUCGUGAAACGUGCCGCCUGGGAAGUACGGUCGCAAGGCUGAAACUUAAAGGAAUUGGCGGGGGAGCACCACAACAGGUGGAGCCUGCGGUUUAAUCGGACUCAACGCCGGAAAUCUCACCGGAUAAGACAGCUGUAUGAUAGUCGGGCUGAAGACUCUACUUGACUAGCUGAGAGGAGGUGCAUGGCCGUCGUCAGUUCGUACUGUGAAGCAUCCUGUUAAGUCAGGCAACGAGCGAGACCCACGUCAACAGUUGCCAGCUCGUCCUCCGGGAUGGUGGGGACACUGUUGGGACCGCCUCUGCUAAAGAGGAGGAAGGAAUGGGCAACGGUAGGUCAGCAUGCCCCGAAUUAUCCGGGCUACACGCGGGCUACAAUGGGUGGGACAAUGGGUAUCGACACCGAAAGGUGAAGGCAAUCUCCUAAACCCAUCCUUAGUUCGGAUUGUGGGCUGCAACUCGCCCACAUGAAGCUGGAAUCUGUAGUAAUCGU
rnacentral:rRNA from 1 species